UAGGGAAUAUUAGUAAUGGGCGAACGCCUGAACUAGCAACGCCGCGUGUGCGAAGAAGGCCUUCGGGUUGUAAAGCACUUUUUGAGAGGAUGAGGAAGGACGGUACUCUCAGAAUAAGUCUCGGCUAACUACGUGCCAGCAGCCGCGGUAACACGUAGGAGGCAAACGUUAUCCGGAUUUACUGGGCGUAAAGCGCGUGUAGGUGGUUUGGUAAGUAGGGCGUGAAAGCUCCUGGCUCAACUGGGAGAGGCCGUUCUAAGCUGCCGAACUAGAGGAUGGUAGAGGGAGGUGGAAUUCCGGGUGUAGCGGUGGAAUGCGCAGAUAUCCGGAGGAACACCAGUGGCGAAAGCGGCCUCCUGGACCAUUCCUGACACUCAGACGCCAAAGCUAGGGUAGCAAACGG
rnacentral:rRNA from 1 species